UAUGGUCAUAUCAUGUUGAAACAUCGGUUCCCAUAUAAUCACUGAAGUUAAGCAACAUUGAGCCUGGUCAGCACCUAGAUGAGUGACUGCUUAGGAAUAACACAUGCUGUAA